rfam:Schistosoma haematobium scaffold306_16, whole genome shotgun sequence.
GCACUGCUGAGGAGUCCCAAACUAGGACGAAACGGCCGUCCAGUGC